rnacentral:rRNA from 1 species
GUCCUAGCCGUAAACGUUGGGUGCUAGGUGUGGGCGGAUAUCAACCCCGUCCGUGCCGAAGCUAACGCAUUAAGCACCCCGCCUGGGGAGUACGGCCGCAAGGCUAAAACUCAAAGGAAUUGACGGGGCCCCGCACAAGCGGCGGAGCAUGUUGCUUAAUUCGAUGCGACGCGAAGAACCUUACCUGGGCUUGACAUGCAGGGUGAAACCCGUGAAAGCGGGCGCUCUUCGGAGCCUGCACAGGUGGUGCAUGGCUGUCGU